UGCUAAAAAAUUCUGUUAUUUGUACGGUUAAAAACUUACGUGGUUGACUGAACAACUAGAAAGUGACACGUGACGUGCUAUGUGUACCUUAUGUUGAUGUACAAUGACUAGUUUUUAAUAGAAGAAUUGGAUGGAAUUUUUAAUA
rfam:Gossypium hirsutum cultivar TM-1 chromosome 20, whole genome shotgun sequence